rnacentral:ncRNA from 1 species
UGACCUCGGAUCAGGUAGGAAUACCCGCUGACUCUUAAGCAUAUCAAUAAGCGGAGGAAAAGAAACCAACAGGGAUUGCCCCAGUAACGGCGAGUGAAGCGGCAACAGCUCAAAUUUGAAAUCUGGCCCCAGGCCCGAGUUGUAAUUUGCAGAGGAUGCUUUUGGCGCGGUGCCUUCCGAGUUCCCUGGAACGGGACGCCAUAGAGGGUGAGAGCCCCGUACGGUUGGACACCAAGCCUUUGUAAAGCUCCUUCGACGAGUCGAGUAGUUUGGGAAUGCUGCUCAAAAUGGGAGGUAUAUUUCUUCUAAAGCUAAAUAUAGGCCAGAGACCGAUAGCGCACAAGUAGAGUGAUCGAAAGAUGAAAAGCACUUUGAAAAGAGGGUUAAACAGCACGUGAAAUUGUUAAAAGGGAAGCGCUUGUGACCAGACUUGCGUCCGGUGAAUCACCCAGCUCUCGCGGCUGGGGCACUUCGCCGGCACAGGCCAGCAUCAGCUUGCCGUCGGGGACAAAAGCUUCAGGAACGUAGCUCUCUUCGGGGAGUGUUAUAGCCUGUUGCAUAAUACCCUUCGGCGGGCUGAGGUACGCGCUCCGCAAGGAUGCUGGCGUAAUGGUCAUCAGCGACCCGUCUUGAAACACGGACCAAGGAGUCAACCUUAUGUGCGAGUGUUUGGGUGUUAAACCCCUACGCGUAAUGAAAGUGAACGCAGGUGAGAGCUUCGGCGCAUCAUCGACCGAUCCUGAUGUUCUCGGAUGGAUUUGAGUAAGAGCAUAUAGGGUUGGACCCGAAAGAAGGUGAACUAUGCGUGUGUAGGGUGAAGCCAGAGGAAACUCUGGUGGAGGCUCGCAGCGGUUCUGACGUGCAAAUCGAUCGUCAAACAUGCGCAUGGGGGCGAAAGACUAAUCGAACCUUCUAGUAGCUGGUUUCCGCCGAAGUUUCCCUCAGGAUAGCAGUGUUGAACUCAGUUUUAUGAGGUAAAGCGAAUGAUUAGGGACUCGGGGGCGCUAUAUUGCCUUCAUCCAUUCUCAAACUUUAAAUAUGUAAGAAGCCCUUGUUGCUUAAUUGAACGUGGGCAUUCGAAUGUAUCAACACUAGUGGGCCAUUUUUGGUAAGCAGAACUGGCGAUGCGGGAUGAACCGAACGCGAGGUUAAGGUGCCAGAGUAGUCGCUCAUCAGACACCACAAAAGGUGUUAGUACAUCUUGACAGCAGGACGGUGGCCAUGGAAGUCGGAAUCCGCUAAGGACUGUGUAACAACUCACCUGCCGAAUGUACUAGCCCUGAAAAUGGAUGGCGCUCAAGCGACUCACCCAUACCUCGCCCUCAGUGUAGAAACGAUGCGCUGAGGAGUAGGCGGACGUGGAGGUCAGUGACGAAGCCUAGGGCGUGAGCCCGGGUAGAACGGCCUCUAGUGCAGAUCUUGGUGGUAGUAGCAAAUACUUCAAUGAGAAAUUGAAGGACCGAAGUGGGGAAAGGUUCCAUGUGAAMAGAGGKUGGGCAUGGGUGAGGCGAUCCUCUGUGUUGAACUC